CUCGUAGGCGGCUCCGUAAGUCAGAGGUGAAAUCCAAUGGCUCAACCAUUGACACGCCUUUGAAACUACAGAGCUUGAGUUCAGGAGAGGAAAGUGGAAUUCCUGGUGUAGCGGUGAAAUGCGUAGAUAUCAGGAGGAACACCAGUGGCGAAGGCGGCUUUCUGGACUGAUACUGACGCUGAGGAGCGAAAGCCAGGGGAGCGAACG
rnacentral:rRNA from 1 species